rnacentral:lncRNA from 1 species
GAGUUCCCUCCCUUAGCUAAAAAUUUGGGUCAACUCUCCCUCCCAAAUUGCUCUCGGCCUCCCUCCGACUCACCAUUGCUCUCACCCUCGCUCCACCAUCGCUCUCACCCUCUCCACCUCGCUCCACCAUCACUCUCACCCUUAAUCCCCCUCACCCCCUCACCCUCUCCACCUCGCUCUCACUCGAUCUCAGCGGGUUUUUCUUACCCGAUCUCAGUCAACGAUUAAAGCAAGUUCGAUCUCAGCGGGUUUUUCUUACUCGAUCUCAGGAGCAACUGGAGUUCAAGAAAGCUGUCUAAGGCGGAAAUCAAGUUCUGUUCAUUGCUCCUAGCUGGGUUUGAUGCUUCUCGCGUCUUUAACUCUUUCCCUUCUCAAAUCUCAAAGCUUUCUUCCAGUUACGCCAGCCCUACAACUUCUUUGCCUUCCUCUUCAGUAAAGGAUCCUAAAUCUUGGUGAAAGAUCUGCGGUCGACGGUGUUUUAGGCAAAGGUAUGGCCAAGGUUGCUCAACCUGGUUCCCGCUGCUUUGAAGGUUGUUGGCAGAACGAUGAAGAUUUCUUGGCUGAGAAAGUUAGCAAAUGAUCAACUUUCCGAUCAUGACAUCAAGUUAUUUGCUGCUAUCUUCCAUGUUAUUUGAAUCGGCAGUUUUAUUGCACUUUGCUACUGCUGCCUAGUGGAGGCUUCUGGUGAUUCUUUUGAAAACUCAUGAUGUAGUUUUACUCCUGAUUUUGUGUGGCUUUUGACUUCUGCUCUCUGUUUUACUCAUGAUGAAUUACAUGAACAACUUCUAAUUAUGUGAAGUUUUGUUUUGUUUAAGUUUCUGUUGAUAUACGAAUUGCAAUUGAGCCUUGUUAUAUUGUUGUUGCAGUCUGGUACAUAAACUACCUAAGAGAACAAACUACAAUGUAUACCACUCCCACUGUUUGAUACUUUUAUAUGCUCACUUGACUGUAACAUGGUGAUCACUUAUUUUAC